GACGAACGUUGGCGGCGUGCUUAACACAUGCAAGUCGAACGGAAAGGCCCUGCUUUUGUGGGGUGCUCGAGUGGCGAACGGGUGAGUAACACGUGAGUAACCUGCCCUUGACUUUGGGAUAACUUCAGGAAACUGGGGCUAAUACCGGAUAGGAGCUCCUGCUGCAUGGUGGGGGUUGGAAAGUUUCGGCGGUUGGGGAUGGACUCGCGGCUUAUCAGCUUGUUGGUGGGGUAGUGGCUUACCAAGGCUUUGACGGGUAGCCGGCCUGAGAGGGUGACCGGCCACAUUGGGACUGAGAUACGGCCCAGACUCCUACGGGGGGCAGCAGUGGGGAAUAUUGCACAAUGGGCGGAAGCCUGAUGCAGCAACGCCGCGUGCGGGAUGACGGCCUUCGGGUUGUAAACCGCUUUCGCCUGUGACGAAGCGUGAGUGACGGUAAUGGGUAAAGAAGCACCGGCUAACUACGUGCCAGCAGCCGCGGUGAUACGUAGGGUGCGAGCGUUGUCCGGAUUUAUUGGGCGUAAAGGGCUCGUAGGUGGUUGAUCGCGUCGGAAGUGUAAUCUUGGGGCUUAACCCUGAGCGUGCUUUCGAUACGGGUUGACUUGAGGAAGGUAGGGGAGAAUGGAAUUCCUGGUGGAGCGGUGGAAUGCGCAGAUAUCAGGAGGGACACCAGUGGCGAAGGCGGUUCUCUGGGCCUUUCCUGACGCUGAGGAGCGAAAGCGUGGGGAGCGAACAGGCUUAGAUACCCUGGUAGUCCACGCUGUAAACGGUGGGUACUAGGUGUGGGGUCCAUUCCACGGGUUCCGUGCCGUAGCUAACGCUUUAAGUACCCCGCCUGGGGAGUACGGCCGCAAGGCUAAAACUCAAAGGAAUUGACGGGGCCCCGCACAAGCGGCGGAGCAUGCGGAUUAAUUCGAUGCAACGCGUAGAACCUUACCUGGGUUUGACAUGGAUCGGGAGUGCUCAGAGAUGGGUGUGCCUCUUUUGGGGUCGGUUCACAGGUGGUGCAUGCCUGUCGUCAGCUCGUGUCGUGAGAUGUUGGGUUAAGUCCCGCAACGAGCGCAACCCUUGUUCACUGUUGCCAGCACGUUAUGGUGGGGACUCAGUGGAGACCGCCGGGGUCAACUCGGAGGAAGGUGGGGAUGACGUCAAGUCAUCAUGCCCCUUAUGUCCAGGGCUUCACGCAUGCUACAAUGGCUGGUACAGAGAGUGGCGAGCCUGUGAGGGUGAGCGAAUCUCGGAAAGCCGGUCUCAGUUCGGAUUGGGGUCUGCAACUCGACCUCAUGAAGUCGGAGUCGCUAGUAAUCGCAGAUCAGCAACGCUGCGGUGAAUACGUUCCCGGG
rnacentral:rRNA from 1 species